GACAAUGGGCGCAAGCCUGAUCCAGCAAUGCCGCGUGCAGGAUGAAGGCCUUCGGGUUGUAAACUGCUUUUGUACGGAACGAAAAGCCCUGGGUUAAUACCCUGGGGUCAUGACGGUACCGUAAGAAUAAGCACCGGCUAACUACGUGCCAGCAGCCGCGGUAAUACGUAGGGUGCAAGCGUUAAUCGGAAUUACUGGGCGUAAAGCGUGCGCAGGCGGUUUUGUAAGACAGUGGUGAAAUCCCCGGGCUCAACCUGGGAACUGCCAUUGUGACUGCAAGGCUAGAGUGCGGCAGAGGGGGAUGGAAUUCCGCGUGUAGCAGUGAAAUGCGUAGAUAUGCGGAGGAACACCGAUGGCGAAGGCAAUCCCCUGGGCCUGCACUGACGCUCAUGCACGAAAGCGUGGGGAGCAAACAGGAUUAGAUACCCUGGUAGUCCACGCCCUAAACGAUGUCAACUGGUUGUUGGGUCUUAACUGACUCAGUAACGAAGCUAACGCGUGAAGUUGACCGCCUGGG
rnacentral:rRNA from 1 species